UGUCCAUCGUGCGGAAACCUAUGUGUUAACAGCAAUGAAAAUUUUUGCAAUUCCUGUGGCUCAGCAUUAAAAGACGGAAAUCUUACAAAGCCCAAGGAAAUGUCAAAUAAUGCAAGUGGUGGCUUAAAAACUUUAACUUUUGAAGAAUUUCUGAAGAGAGGAUCAAGCAGAGAAACUAAAGACCAAGAACAACGUCAACAAACCUUUAACGAAAUGAAAAAAAGAAAAUCAGAUGAAAGAACGAAAUCAUUAAAAAAAAAGAAGGAAGAAAUUGUAAAGAUAAAUAGUGGGUUGGUAGAAUGUGGAGUAGCAAGGCAGCUAAAAGUCAAAAAAGGUUCUCUUCUACCUCUCGAUUUUAAAAAAAGAAAAUGAUUCCAGUUGUAAAGUGAAGAGUUUAGGGAUGGACAAGCAGUUGGCUCAUAAUAAACACCUGAGGGAUUCUGGUGACUUUGAUUGUGUUCUGAUGUACCCAGACUUUGGUCUGGUUAACACUAUUCCAGGAACUUCACAGCCAUUUACAGUUGAGAGAUAUAAGGAAGCAAUUGGAAGGCCUUAUAAUCGAGUCAACUUGUACUUGUGCAAGGUCUCUGACUUAAUUUGAAAUUGCCAAUGAUAUUGAGAAUACUGAAGAUGAAUCUCUGGGACCACACAGCUCCCCAACAAUUAACUCUCAGGACUGGAAUAGCAACCAAACUAUGUUAACUCCUAACAAGCAGGCAAUUUUUUGCUAUGAUUACCAAACAAGUACCUCUGAAACCCAAGCGAGUAUCUCCGCCACCAAAGCAAGUAUCUCUGAUGCCCAAGAAAGUACCUCUGGUAACCAAGCAACUACCUCUAUCAACCAGGCAACUGAAACAAAUAUCACUGAAAAUUUUUUAUUUCUAGAAGAUAUAUUUGAAGGUUGGAAAUAUCAUGCAUGGAAGGCCCUCUAAUUCCUAUCGAGUAUUGUAUUGCAUAUCACAUA
rnacentral:lncRNA from 1 species